rnacentral:rRNA from 1 species
AGAGUUUGAUCCUGGCUCAGAUUGAACGCUGGCGGCAGGCUUAACACAUGCAAGUCGAGCGGGGAAGGGUAGCUUGCUACCUGACCUAGCGGCGGACGGGUGAGUAAUGCUUAGGAAUCUGCCUAUUAGUGGGGGACAACAUUCCGAAAGGAAUGCUAAUACCGCAUACGCCCUACGGGGGAAAGCAGGGGAUCUUCGGACCUUGCGCUAAUAGAUGAGCCUAAGUCAGAUUAGCUAGUUGGUGGGGUAAAGGCCUACCAAGGCGACGAUCUGUAGCGGGUCUGAGAGGAUGAUCCGCCACACUGGGACUGAGACACGGCCCAGACUCCUACGGGAGGCAGCAGUGGGGAAUAUUGGACAAUGGGCGAAAGCCUGAUCCAGCCAUGCCGCGUGUGUGAAGAAGGCCUUUUGGUUGUAAAGCACUUUAAGCGAGGAGGAGGCUACUUGGAUUAAUACUCUAGGAUAGUGGACGUUACUCGCAGAAUAAGCACCGGCUAACUCUGUGCCAGCAGCCGCGGUAAUACAGAGGGUGCGAGCGUUAAUCGGAUUUACUGGGCGUAAAGCGUGCGUAGGCGGCUUCUUAAGUCGGAUGUGAAAUCCCUGAGCUUAACUUAGGAAUUGCAUUCGAUACUGGGAAGCUAGAGUAUGGGAGAGGAUGGUAGAAUUCCAGGUGUAGCGGUGAAAUGCGUAGAGAUCUGGAGGAAUACCGAUGGCGAAGGCAGCCAUCUGGCCUAAUACUGACGCUGAGG